rfam:Microbacterium sp. STBG005 Ion018_assembly_c6210, whole genome shotgun sequence.
GUGUCCCUUUCCGCCAUCUCGCAAAUGGGCAUCGGUCCAGGGGAAGGUGUAUUCACAACCGUAAAGCAACCUUUAACCGGGCUUGUGUCCACCGACUUAUCACCGAUGGUGAACGGUGGAGCGGUAAGCAGCAGGGACCGCAUAAUGAAACGCUAUUUAUGUAUCGCGUUCAUUGUCGCCAGCGUACUCGUUGUAAAGAGCGAUGAACCUGUUGGGUUUGUUGCUUUUGCUACGACAGCGCAGGACAAGUAGCGUUAAGGCCGCCCAGGGCGGCCUUUUUU